rnacentral:rRNA from 1 species
UACAGAGGGUGCAAGCGUUAAUCGGAAUUACUGGGCGUAAAGCGUGCGUAGACGGUUACAUAAGUCGGGUGUGAAAUCCCCGGGCUCAACCUGGGACUUGCAGUUGAAACUGGUGAGCUAGAGUAGGGUAGAGGGGUGUGGAAUUCCAGGUGUAGCGGUGAAAUGCGUAGAUAUCUGGAGGAACAUCAGUGGCGAAGGCGACACCCUGGACUCAUACUGACACUGAGGUGCGAAAGCGUGGGGAGCAAACAGG